UGGCAAACAAACCGGCCCUCGGAUUUGCAGCCGAUGUAGCCCAGAGCUGCCUGAAUGAAGCGGCUUUGUAAAUAUCUGGGCAGGAUGACCUGCAGCCCUGUGCACCAUGAAAAACAAGAUCAGGAUGCGAGCCGUGGGGGAAAAUACAGUUGAACAUUCCAAGGGAACUGUUGCCUGAUGUUUGGGCCGUAGCACCUGCAAAUCCUGGGGUAAACCACAAGCCUUGGAUUGGCCGACUGCUGGGAUCGACAUGAGCUCCGUGACCCUGGAAGCUGUAAAGGGUUAGAAGAAUCCCUGCUGCUGCUGAUUUCUUCCCGAGACAGACUGACUUCUGGCGCUGCUCUAAACUUUAGCACGCGGACACGAGCUGCCCGUAGGAGCCAUUAAGCUAGCGACACCAUCUGUACAACUGCGUGCCUGAAGCUGAACAGCAACACAAAGUUUGACCACAGGGGGUCCUCGACUUGCAUCAGUGUUCCGUUCCAUGGUGCGACGCGACUCAAUUUCCGCAGCUCACAUACUGUAUGUAAGUACCUACCGAACAACACAGUGUUAACGACAAAAUCGAGCCGAUGUCAAUAGACAUUAUCCGUAAACUCCCGGGAAACACGAUGCGACGCGACCCCCCCCAAAAAAAAAUCUCUUGUGACCCACCUGAGGGUCGCGACCCAGUCUUUGGGAAACAAUGCCUUCUCAUCAACUCUAAAUGGUAAUAAGAACUUAAGAAAACGAUGACCGUGACUUUUUUAUUGGUCGCGUGUACCUUGCAACCGACAGCUUAGCUUAGCUUAGCUUGGAAACCAAACAUCGUUUAACCGUGUGCUUUAAUGCCACCCUCGUACUGUUUCUGAGGCUAUACUGAAACUGUCGGUCACAAUGCACCCUUCUUUAUAAUUUAAACUCCUGCAGUUAACCUUUAAGGAGGAUCUUCGUCAGCCGGGCCUACGACAAUUUACUGUAUAUGUCAAGCACGGAAUUAGAGCUGAGGGACGAAGCUUUUUUUUUUACGCAGUUGAGACAAACCUGAGAAAACACCUGUUUUUUAUUAUUGUUAUUAUUUCUGAUUAGUGUUGACAGGAUGUUGAAGCCUUUCUGUAUCACUGCUCAAGCUUGUUAGCGGUUUCACCAUUACAGGAAGAGGCAGAGCAACAACAAAAAAAAAAAACGUAUGGGAAAUGAAAUGCUGGCACGGUUUAUAAAUGAACCCGGCGUUGCACGACUGACGGCAAACAGAAAAAACCCACCAAGAGAUCUCUGCAGAACUAUUCGUGGCC